rnacentral:rRNA from 1 species
AGCGAGCGCUGGCGGCAGGCUUAACACAUGCAGGUCGAGCGCCCCGCAAGGGGAGCGGCAGACGGGAGAGUAACACGUGGGAACGUACCUUUCAGUACGGAACAACCAAGGGAAACUUUGGCUAAUACCGUAUACGCCCGUAAGGGGAAAGAUUUAUCGCUGAAAGAUCGGCCCGCGUCUGAUUAGCUAGUUGGUGGGGUAAUGGCCCACCAAGGCGACGAUCAGUAGCUGGUCUGAGAGGAUGAUCAGCCUCACUGGGACUGAGACACGGCCCAGACUCCUACGGGAGGCAGCAGUGGGGAAUAUUGGACAAUGGGGGAAACCCUGAUCCAGCCAUGCCGCGUGAGUGAUGAAGGCCUUAGGGUUGUAAAGCUCUUUCGUCAGGGAAGAUAAUGACGGUACCUGAAGAAGAAGCCCCGGCUAACUUCGUGCCAGCCGCCGCCGUAAUAC